CCCUAAGAAUAGUCUCUCUCUCUCUUUCUCUUUGUGAGGUGGCUUCGUUCCUCUGAUUUUCCUAACCCUAAUUAUUGUUCCUGAGAUUCCUAUCUACGAUCCGGUGACGAGUUCAGAGGAAGCCAAGGUCGUUGGUACCGAAGAAGAUCUGUCUUAGCUCGAAACGACACCGUCGAUGCCAACACCCCUCAUGUUCCUCUGACUCUUCCUCUUCUUACUUUGAUUCCUCCAGAUCUGUGGAUUUCUUUCUCACCGACAUUUGAAAACCUUUGUUUGUUUGGAGUUAAAAAUUUAACUGUCAUUUAUUUCUUUUGGUGGUGUUCUUUGAAAGGAAUAAUGUUAAUGGAUUUAGAGAAAGCAUCUACGAUGUUCUUCAUCUAAAGCAGAUAUGUCGAUCCCCCAUGACGUUGCUACUGUUGGGACUACAAGACCUUAAGUAUUGUGGUUACAUUGCAGUUAUGAAAAUAGAGAUGGAGAAUGAGGAGUUAAGCCCACCUUCUCAAAGUUUUGACCUCCUUGAAUAGGACCAAGUUUUCCUAAUUUGAUCUAAGGAUGGUUUUGAGAAAAAAAAAUUCGUCUGAGCGUUGGGCGAUCUUAGGCUUCUCGAUGGUGGAAGGGAGGAACGAUAUGGUGAGGAUUGACAGUUCGUGAAGACUGUUUUAGAUCUAGUUGAGGUGAAGUCAGAUUCGAGGGAUUGAGGUUUCUAAGUACUUUGACACUAUUACUCCUGAAGACAAGCCAAAGUCGAUUCAUUGAUUUCAAAGUAAGCAAAGAAGGAACUAGGUGCCAAAUACUGGAUUGGUUUUCAAAGGAAGAGGUUGUGGUGGGGGAAGGUCUCAUACUGAUUUGAACUUGUGGUGUUCUUCUCUCUAUGGUACAUUAGGUGGUUUAAAGAACUCAAGACAUGUUGAAGUUGAUUAUCUGAUGAUAUCAAAGAAGUUUCAAAGAUUAGAGGUCCAAUAGUGUGGAAAAUUCAUGGAGUUUACAAGAGUUUUCUAGACUUAUUUUCUAAUAUGUAAUUUUACUUUGUAAUGAUAUGUCAAUAUUCUUGUAGCUAGUAGAACUUUUUGUAUUUGUACUUGUGGAACAUUUUUCUUGUAUAUUACUAUUGUGGUUAUAUGAACUUUUUUUUAUACA